UAAAAUCUCACGAAUUUAUCGCUUCUCUCUUGAUUUCGGAAAGUUAAGAUUUUGAUGCCCAACUCAACUCAACUCAUCUAACUCAACUAAGCCUCCGCUGUCUCUGUUCUGCGGCUUCUUUCGCUUCUGCUAGUUCUCCACUAUUUCUCUGCUGUCUCUGUUCUGUGGCUUCUUCUGCUUCUGCUAGUUCUCUUCUCUCUUCUAUUUAUGAUUCGACCCAUUUCUGCUUCUUAUUUUAGACAGA
rnacentral:misc_RNA from 1 species